rnacentral:rRNA from 1 species
UACGUAGGGGGCAAGCGUUGUCCGGAUUUAUUGGGCGUAAAGAGCGUGUAGGCGGCCAUACAGGUCCGUUGUGAAAACUGGAGGCUUAACCUCCAGACGUCGAUGGAAACCAUCUGGCUAGAGUCCGGAAGAGGAGAGUGGAAUUCCUGGUGUAGCGGUGAAAUGCGCAGAUAUCAGGAAGAACACCCGUGGCUAAGGCGGCUCUCUAGUACGGUACUGACGCUGAGACGCGAAAGCGUGGGGAGCGAACAGGG